rfam:Trichobilharzia regenti genome assembly, scaffold: TRE_scaffold0040749
GUACUUCUGAAGAGUCCCAAACUAGUGGGACGAAACAGACGUCCAGUAC